UCCCCACUGUGUUUUUAUUUCAUGACACUUACGCUUCCAACGCCUCUUUUGCUUGCUGAACUGAAUUCACGGAUCGUUCCACCAAAUAGUCACUCUAUUUUCUUCAAUUUCUGAUUUUCGUAACUGCAAAUUCCAUUAUAAUCUCACACCCAUUUUCCAAUUCAUCAUUAUUAUCUUUGAUAUGGAUCCUCAAAUUCAAUUUUCGGCAAGAUUUGAGUCAAAAUCAUAUUUUUUUUCCUCGAGCAUUCGAAGGAGCGCAAUUUUUUGCAGGGGGACUUGCAGACCCAACAACCCUCACGAGCCAAAAUUCGAGGUAUUCGAGCCUUCUUCAUUUUGCUAAGUUGUACCCGAAAAUGGAAGGAUUUAUUCAAGGUGGGCAUGAAGAAGAGAUUAAAAAAACCACCAUUUUGGAACUUGUUUAAGGCAUAUCGUGAUGGUCAUGUUACAUUUGAGUUUUGCAAAAAACUUGACAUGGAUGUUGCUAAAAUAGUAAAGCAGUACAAUAAAGAUAUGAAGUUCUUUGUGUUUGGGGACAUUUACGCGAGGUUAACACCAAGUGAUAUAGCUGCAAUUCUUGGCUUGCCUAACAUGGGUUCCAUACUUAAGCACA